rnacentral:rRNA from 1 species
CCUACGGGUUGCAGCAGUGAGGAAUAUUGGUCAAUGGGCGCGCGCCUGAACCAGCCAAGUCGCGUGAGUGAAGACGGUCCUAUGGAUUGUAAACCUCUUUUGUCGGGGAGCAAAAGACGCCACGCGUAGCGUUCCGAGAGUACCCGACGAAAAAGCAUCGUCUAACUCCGUGCCAGCAGCCGCGGUAAUACGUAGGAUUCGAGCGUUAUCCGGUUUUAUUGGGUUUAAAGGUUGCGCAGGCGGAAGAUCAAGUCAGCGGUAAAAUUGAUGGGCUCAACCUCGUCGAGCCGUUGAAACUGGUUGGCUUGAGUGAGGGAGAAGUAGGCGGAAUGCGUGGUGUAGCGGUGAAAUGCAUAGAGAUCACGCAGAACUCCGAUUGCGAAGGCAGCAUACCGGCGCUCAACUGACGCUGAUGCACGAAAGUGUGGGUAGCGAACAGGAUUAGAUACCCGUGUAGUC